GACGAACGCUGGCGGCGUGCCUAAUACAUGCAAGUCGAACGAACCGCGACUAAGUGCUUGCACUAAGUCAAGGUGAGUGGCGAACGGGUGAGUAACACGUGGGUAACCUACCUCAUAGUGGGGGAUAACAGUCGGAAACGACUGCUAAUACCGCAUAGGACAUAGGAUCACAUGAUCCAGUGAGGAAAGGUGGCGCAAGCUAUCGCUAAGAGAUGGACCCGCGGUGCAUUAGCUAGUUGGUAGGGUAAAGGCCUACCAAGGCGAUGAUGCAUAGCCGACCUGAGAGGGUGAUCGGCCACAUUGGGACUGAGACACGGCCCAUACUCCUACGGGAGGCAGCAGUAGGGAAUCUUCCGCAAUGGACGCAAGUCUGACGGAGCAACGCCGCGUGAGUGAAGAAGGUCUUCGGAUCGUAAAGCUCUGUUGUUAGUGAAGAACAGCGCAUAGAGUAACUGCUAUGCGUGUGACGGUACCUAACCAGAAAGCCACGGCUAACUACGUG
rnacentral:rRNA from 1 species